AUUGAACGCUGGCGGCAGGCCUAACACAUGCAAGUCGAGCGGGGUUUUCGGACCUAGCGGCGGACGGGUGAGUAAUGCGUAGGAAGCUGCCCGAUAGAGGGGGAUACCAGUUGGAAACGACCGUUAAUACCGCAUAAUGUCUACGGACCAAAGUGUGGGACCUUCGGGCCACAUGCUAUCGGAUGCGCCUACGUGGGAUUAGCUAGUUGGUGAGGUAAUGGCUCACCAAGGCGACGAUCUCUAGCUGGUUUGAGAGGAUGAUCAGCCACACUGGAACUGAGACACGGUCCAGACUCCUACGGGAGGCAGCAGUGGGGAAUAUUGGACAAUGGGCGCAAGCCUGAUCCAGCCAUGACGCGUGUGUGAAGAAGGCCUUCGGGUUGUAAAGCACUUUCAGCGAGGAGGAAGGGGUGUGUGUUAAUAGUACACACCUUUGACGUUACUCGCAGAAGAAGCACCGGCUAACUCUGUGCCAGCCGCCGCCGUAAAAC
rnacentral:rRNA from 1 species